GUAGGUGGCAAGCGUUGUCCGGAAUUAUUGGGCGUAAAGCGCGCGCAGGCGGUUCUUUAAGUCUGAUGUGAAAGCCCACGGCUCAACCGUGGAGGGUCAUUGGAAACUGGAGGACUUGAGUACAGAAGAGGAAAGCGGAAUUCCACGUGUAGCGGUGAAAUGCGUAGAGAUGUGGAGGAACACCAGUGGCGAAGGCGGCUUUCUGGUCUGUAACUGACGCUGAGGCGCGAAAGCGUGGGGAGCAAACAGGGAUUAGAUACCCUGGUAGUCCACGCGUAAACGAUGAGUGCUAAGUGUUAGGGGGUUUUCCGCCCCCUUAGUGCUGCAGCUAACGCAUUAAGCACUCCGCCUGGGGAGUACGGCCGCAAGGCUG
rnacentral:rRNA from 1 species